GGGUUGUGAGGUUAAGCGACUAAGCGUACACGGUGGAUGCCCUGGCAGUCAGAGGCGAUGAAGGGCGUGCUAAUCUGCGAUAAGCGCCGGUAAGGUGAUAUGAACCGUUAUAACCGGCGAUACCCGAAUGGGGAAACCCAGUGUGACUCGUCACACUAUCAUUAACUGAAUCCAUAGGUUAAUGAGGCGAACCGGGGGAACUGAAACAUCUAAGUACCCCGAGGAAAAGAAAUCAACCGAGAUUCCCCCAGUAGCGGCGAGCGAACGGGGAGGAGCCCAGAGCCUGAAUCAGCAUGUGUGUUAGUGGAAGCGUCUGGAAAGGCGCGCGAUACAGGGUGACAGCCCCGUACACAAAAGCGCAUGUGCUGUGAGCUCGAUGAGUAGGGCGGGACACGUGGUAUCCUGUCUGAAUAUGGGGGGACCAUCCUCCAAGGCUAAAUACUCCUGACUGACCGAUAGUGAACCAGUACCGUGAGGGAAAGGCGAAAAGAACCCCGGCGAGGGGAGUGAAAAAGAACCUGAAACCGUGUACGUACAAGCAGUGGGAGCACAGGUUUACCUGUGUGACUGCGUACCUUUUGUAUAAUGGGUCAGCGACUUAUAUUCUGUAGCAAGGUUAACCGUAUAGGGGAGCCGCAGGGAAACCGAGUCUUAACCGGGCGUUAAGUUGCAGGGUAUAGACCCGAAACCCGGUGAUCUAGCCAUGGGCAGGUUGAAGGUUGGGUAACACUAACUGGAGGACCGAACCGACUAAUGUUGAAAAAUUAGCGGAUGACCUGUGGCUGGGGGUGAAAGGCCAAUCAAACCGGGAGAUAGCUGGUUCUCCCCGAAAGCUAUUUAGGUAGCGCCUCGUGAAUUCAUCUCCGGGGGUAGAGCACUGUUUCGGCUAGGGGGCCAUCCCGGCUUACCAACCCGAUGCAAACUGCGAAUACCGGAGAAUGUUAUCACGGGAGACACACGGCGGGUGCUAACGUCCGUCGUGAAGAGGGAAACAACCCAGACCGCCAGCUAAGGUCCCAAAGUCAUGGUUAAGUGGGAAACGAUGUGGGAAGGCCCAGACAGCCAGGAUGUUGGCUUAGAAGCAGCCAUCAUUUAAAGAAAGCGUAAUAGCUCACUGGUCGAGUCGGCCUGCGCGGAAGAUGUAACGGGGCUAAACCAUGCACCGAAGCUGCGGCAGCGACGCUGAUGCGUUGUUGGGUAGGGGAGCGUUCUGUAAGCCUGUGAAGGUGGCCUGUGAGGGUUGCUGGAGGUAUCAGAAGUGCGAAUGCUGACAUAAGUAACGAUAAAGCGGGUGAAAAGCCCGCUCGCCGGAAGACCAAGGGUUCCUGUCCAACGUUAAUCGGGGCAGGGUGAGUCGACCCCUAAGGCGAGGCCGAAAGGCGUAGUCGAUGGGAAACGGGUUAAUAUUCCCGUACUUGGUGUUACUGCGAAGGGGGGACGGAGAAGGCUAUGUUGGCCGGGCGACGGUUGUCCCGGUUUAAGCGUGUAGGUGUGUGUUCCAGGUAAAUCCGGUUCACUUUAACACUGAGGCGUGAUGACGAGGCACUACGGUGCUGAAGCAACAAAUGCCCUGCUUCCAGGAAAAGCCUCUAAGCAUCAGGUAACAUCAAAUCGUACCCCAAACCGACACAGGUGGUCAGGUAGAGAAUACCAAGGCGCUUGAGAGAACUCGGGUGAAGGAACUAGGCAAAAUGGUGCCGUAACUUCGGGAGAAGGCACGCUGACACGUAGGUGAAGUGAUUUACUCACGGAGCUGAAGUCAGUCGAAGAUACCAGCUGGCUGCAACUGUUUAUUAAAAACACAGCACUGUGCAAACACGAAAGUGGACGUAUACGGUGUGACGCCUGCCCGGUGCCGGAAGGUUAAUUGAUGGGGUCAGCGCAAGCGAAGCUCCUGAUCGAAGCCCCGGUAAACGGCGGCCGUAACUAUAACGGUCCUAAGGUAGCGAAAUUCCUUGUCGGGUAAGUUCCGACCUGCACGAAUGGCGUAAUGAUGGCCAGGCUGUCUCCACCCGAGACUCAGUGAAAUUGAACUCGCUGUGAAGAUGCAGUGUACCCGCGGCAAGACGGAAAGACCCCGUGAACCUUUACUAUAGCUUGACACUGAACAUUGAGCCUUGAUGUGUAGGAUAGGUGGGAGGCUUUGAAGUGUGGACGCCAGUCUGCAUGGAGCCGACCUUGAAAUACCACCCUUUAAUGUUUGAUGUUCUAACGUGGACCCGUAAUCCGGGUUGCGGACAGUGUCUGGUGGGUAGUUUGACUGGGGCGGUCUCCUCCUAAAGAGUAACGGAGGAGCACGAAGGUUGGCUAAUCCUGGUCGGACAUCAGGAGGUUAGUGCAAUGGCAUAAGCCAGCUUGACUGCGAGCGUGACGGCGCGAGCAGGUGCGAAAGCAGGUCAUAGUGAUCCGGUGGUUCUGAAUGGAAGGGCCAUCGCUCAACGGAUAAAAGGUACUCCGGGGAUAACAGGCUGAUACCGCCCAAGAGUUCAUAUCGACGGCGGUGUUUGGCACCUCGAUGUCGGCUCAUCACAUCCUGGGGCUGAAGUAGGUCCCAAGGGUAUGGCUGUUCGCCAUUUAAAGUGGUACGCGAGCUGGGUUUAGAACGUCGUGAGACAGUUCGGUCCCUAUCUGCCGUGGGCGCUGGAGAACUGAGGGGGGCUGCUCCUAGUACGAGAGGACCGGAGUGGACGCAUCACUGGUGUUCGGGUUGUCAUGCCAAUGGCACUGCCCGGUAGCUAAAUGCGGAAGAGAUAAGUGCUGAAAGCAUCUAAGCACGAAACUUGCCCCGAGAUGAGUUCUCCCUGAGACUUAAAGUCUCCUGAAGGAACGUUGAAGACGACGACGUUGAUAGGCCGGGUGUGUAAGCGCAGCGAUGCGUUGAGCUAACCGGUACUAAUGAACCGUGAGGCUUAACCUUACAACGCCGAAG
rnacentral:rRNA from 2 species